GAGUGGCUGCCACCCGUACGACCAACCAGGGCCGGGGACAAACUGCAACCGAGACACAGGGGGACAGGAAGUGGUGGCCUACAGUUUCACUGGGCUGGGAGAUAUGAGGAUCCCAGAGAAGAGAGAACUGCAGAGGAGGGACCCCAACAGUCAGCGUCUGUUUCCCCCCUGGGGACACUUGCUGUUCCUACAUUUAUCAUGUGCAGGAGGAGAGGCUGAGAAAACAAGGAGCAGCAUCUGGGAGUCUAAAAAGCCUUUUAGAAAGAUGAACAGCUGGACAUCUACCUCCACACAGUUUCUGGCACCCCUGGACUUGAGUGUGACUGGUGAGUGCGUGCAAGGCCACUGUCACAUACAAAUCAAAGGAUGGCAAGGUGCUGUUAGUGUCUGAACGUGCGCUUCCAUACACAGGGAUCUUACUUUGGUCAUUCCUAUUCAGCCUUCAGUGCCAGCUAAGAUGACUUCCUAGAGGAAAUCGUGUUUUAUGUGCUCCUAGAGUGCUCCUGCCCUCUCGUCGUGCUUACCAGACUCUGCGGUGAUCGUCCACUUCCUCGGUUUCAUCCUCCCUCUAAGGCCCA